GUGGGGAAUAUUGGACAAUGGGGGGAACCCUGAUCCAGCCAUGCCGCGUGUGUGAAGAAGGCCUUUUGGUUGUAAAGCACUUUAAGCGAGGAGGAGGCUACCGAGAUUAAUACUCUUGGAUAGUGGACGUUACUCGCAGAAUAAGCACCGGCUAACUCUGUGCCAGCAGCCGCGGUAAUACAGAGGGUGCAAGCGUUAAUCGGAUUUACUGGGCGUAAAGCGCGCGUAGGUGGCCAAUUAAGUCAAAUGUGAAAUCCCCGAGCUUAACUUGGGAAUUGCAUUCGAUACUGGUUGGCUAGAGUAUGGGAGAGGAUGGUAGAAUUCCAGGUGUAGCGGUGAAAUGCGUAGAGAUCUAGAGGAAUACCGAUGGCGAAGGCAGCCAUCUGGCCUAAUACUGACACUGAGGUGCGAAAGCAUGGGGAGCAAACAGGAUUAGAUACCCGAGUAGUCC
rnacentral:rRNA from 1 species